CCAGGAUCUUGCAAAUGUUACUUCUUAUCGAGAAUGGGUGUUAUUUUGGUAUCUUGUUUGUCCAGAUGAGUUGCUUCAUGUUACUAGCAUCGAUAUUGCUAUGGUGGUACUGAAAGAAAAUCUAGUUCUAACAUUAUUUAGGGAUGAGUAUAUACUUCUGCAUGAGGAAUAUCAGCUCUAUGUUCUACCCAGAAUUUUGGAAUCAAAGAGGACGGCAAAAUCUGGACGCACCAAGCAAAAAGAAGCAGAUUUGGAAUAUAGUGUUGCAAAGAAGGUUGAAAAAUUGAUUAG